rnacentral:tRNA from 1 species
AUUUGAUAAAUAAAAGUUUUGAUUUCGAAUCAAAAGUAUACUAAUCAAUAA